rnacentral:rRNA from 1 species
UCCAGACUCCUACGGGAGGCAGCAGUGGGGGAUAUUGCACAAUGGGGGAAACCCUGAUGCAGCGACGCCGCGUGAGUGAAGAAGUAUUUCGGUAUGUAAAGCUCUAUCAGCAGGGAAGAAAAUGACAGUACCUGACCAAGAAGCCCCGGCUAACUACGUGCCAGCAGCCGCGGUAAUACGUAGGGGGCAAGCGUUAUCCGGAUUCACUGGGUGUAAAGGGAGCGUAGACGGCCAUGCAAGCCUGGAGUGAAAGCCCGGGGCCCAACCCCGGGACUGCUCUGGGAACUGUGCGGCUGGAGUGCGGGAGGGGCAGGCGGAAUUCCUGGUGUAGCGGUGAAAUGCGUAGAUAUCAGGAGGAACACCGGCGGCGAAGGCGGCCUGCUGGACCGCGACUGACGUUGAGGCUCGAAAGCGUGGGGAGCAAACAGGAUUAGAUACCCGGGUA